rnacentral:rRNA from 1 species
UACAGAGGUCCCAAGCGUUGUUCGGAUUCACUGGGCGUAAAGGGUGCGUAGGUGGUGAGGUAAGUCGGAUGUGAAAUCUCCGAGCUCAACUCGGAAAUGGCAUUGGAAACUACCUUGCUAGAGGGUUGGAGGGGGGGACUGGAAUACUUGGUGUAGCAGUGAAAUGCGUAGAUAUCAAGUGGAACACCAGUGGCGAAGGCGAGUCCCUGGACAACUCCUGACACUGAGGCACGAAAGCUAGGGGAGCAAACAGG